rnacentral:rRNA from 1 species
GACGAACGCUGGCGGCGUGCUUAACACAUGCAAGUCGAACGAAGUGGCGAACGGGUGAGUAACGCGUAAUCAACCUGCCCUUCAGAGGGGGACAACAGUUGGAAACGACUGCUAAAACCGCAUACUGAAGGAGGGGAUUGCGUCGGAUUAGCUAGUGGGGGGGGUUAAGGCCCACCAAGGCGAUGAUCAGUAGCCGGUCGGAGAGGAUGAACGGCCACAUUGGGACGUGGGACCGGCCCAGACUCCUACGGGAGGCAGCAGUGGGGAAUCUGCCGCAAUGGACGAAAGUCUGACGGAGCAACGCCGCGUGAGUGAUGACGGCCUUCGGGUUGUAAAGCUCUGUUAAUCGGGACGCGGUACCGGAAUAGAAAGCCACGGCUAACUACGUGCCAGCAGCCGCGGUAAUUC